UGGUUUUCUUUCCUAGUGUUCACACAUUUGUGAAUAGUUCUUUUAAUAAGUUCUUCCAGAAUUAUACUGAUUUUUGUGUUUCAUUUAUUUCUAGCUUGAACUUUGGCUGAAAUAACUGGCUCUGUGACUGACCAAGGAAACACACCCUCAAGGUGCAUUAGCAGGAGCUGGAUUGAAGAGGAGCAGCUGGAACUUGAACCGGCGCCUACAUGGGAUGCCAGCCCUAUAAGCGGCGGCUUCACCUGAUACAUCACAGCGCUGACCCUGAACCAGAAGGAGAGAGAGGGAGAGUGAGCGCGAGAGCGAGAGGGAGAGAUCGAUCUCCUAUCUGCUGGGUCACCCUCAAAAUGCUUGCAACAGGGAGGCUUAAUGGAGCAGAGCAGUGGAUUUCCGGAGAAGGAGAGAUUAAAGUCUGGAGGAGAGCGGUACUUGUCUGGCAUUGGAAAACAAACAACUUAAAAGGGUCAACAAAGUUAGACACCAAGCUCCAAAAGGUAACAUUUGGACCUCCAAAGUAACCUCAGGGGAGAAA